GUGUGGGCAGAGCUGCUGUGCAGGCAGAGAGAAGGUGUAGAGAGGCCACCCAGAGCGGGCCUGGCCAUGUGGAGUGCCCUGUGCGUGGGCUUCUUGCCCAUUGUAGGUGGCCUUUCUUGGGUGAAGACAGAGGCCUCAGGCCCUACAGUAGGAAAGAUCUCAGAGUCUGUCUGGUUCACCUGUCACAUCUCUGGUGUAGCCAUCACUGAUAGCAACUACGCGUGGGACUGGAUCCGGCAGACUCCCGGCAAAGAGCUGCAGCACCUAGUGAUGCAGUAUCCUUUCACACGGCUCCAGCACAUCGCUUCAUCCUUCCAGACCCGAGUCAACAGCUCUGCAGACACCUCCAGGAACCAGCUGUGGCUGCAACUGCUCUCUCCAGUAGCUGCAGACACAGCCACCUAUUUCUGCAGCAUGAGAGAACUUGAAAAGGGCACUGUGCUUGAAACACAGGCAGGGCCAGGGCAGAAUUGGAAGGAGGGGCCUUAAUCUAGCCAUAUCUUUUGUGGUUGCUGCAAGGCAACGCUCUUCCCAGACUUCUCAAGACAAGUCUGGGCUGUUUUUUUGCAGAAACAGAUGCAGAGGUGCUACAGCAAUAACAACAGUAGUGUCCCACAAGCAAACCCCAAACCAUUAACAUGUUAACUCCUUCCUUCCUUCUCAGUAUCUCCCACAGGCAGAAAGAACCAGGGAAAGAGGAUGUUUUGGUUUGUUUGUUUGUUAAGAAUGUGAUUGGUUUGGUUUGAGUAGAGUAAAGUUUCUUCAUAGUAGCAGGAAUGGGAUUAUGUUUUGAAUUGGUGCUGGAAAGAGUGUGCAUAAUUCAGGGAUGUUUGAGUUAUUGCUGAGCAGUGCUUACAUGGAGUCAAGGCCUCUUCUGCUCCUCAUUCCACCCACCAGUGAGUAGCUGAGGGUACACAAAAUCUGGGAGGGAACUCAGCUGAUUCAGGUGACCCCAGCUGACCAAAGGGGUACUCUGGGCCAUAGGACAUCAUGCUUGGCAUGUAAAGAUGGGGAAGAAGAAGGAAGGUGGUGGAUAUGUAGCCACUAUGUGUGAUGGAGUUCUGCUUUUCUGGAUUAGGCUGGACUUUUGCCUAACAGUUGGAAGUUGUGAAUGAAUUCCUUGCUUUGCUUUGCUCACACAUGCAGCUUUUGCUUUAUUUAUAAAAGUGUUUAGUUAUUUAUUAAA